rnacentral:rRNA from 1 species
UACGGGGGGGCAAGCGUUGUUCGGAAUUACUGGGCGUAAAGGGCGCGUAGGCGGCCUGAUAAGUAGGGGUGAAAUCCUGCGGCUUAACCGCAGGGCUGCCUUCUAAACUGUCAGGCUAGAGCACAGUAGAGGCAGGUGGAAUUCCCGGUGUAGCGGUGGAAUGCGUAGAUAUUGGGAGGAACACCGGUGGCGAAGGCGGCUACCUGGACCGGUACUGACGCUGAGGCGCGAAAGCUAGGGUAGCAAACAGG